UACGGGGGGGGUAAGCGUUGUUCGGAAUUACUGGGCGUAAAGCGUGCGUAGACGGUUAUUUAAGUCGGAUGUGAAAGCCCCGGGCUCAACCUGGGAAUUGCAUUCGAGACUGAAUAGCUAGGGUACGGUAGAGGGAAGUGGAAUUUCCGGUGUAGCGGUGAAAUGCGUAGAUAUCGGAAGGAACAUCAGUGGCGAAAGCGACUUCCUGGACCAGUACCGACGUUCAGGCACGAAAGCGUGGGGAGCAAACAGG
rnacentral:rRNA from 1 species